GAUUGCGAUCAUACCAGCACUAAUGCACCGGAUCCCAUCAGAACUCCACAGUUAAGCAUGCUUGGGCGAGAGUAGUACUAGGAUGGGUGACCCCCUGGGAAGUCCUCGUGUUGCAACCC
rnacentral:rRNA from 1 species